AUCACGGUCUUUUUGUGGAAAUGCCUGGAAGGGACCCUUCAGAUAGGAACUACCUUUCUUCUGUAUUGAUACAAGAACUCUUUGUUACUUUGGAUCAUGAAGAUUUGUCUCUAAGAGCAAAGGCAGCAAGAAUCUUGGUAGUGCUCUUGUGCAAACAUGAGUUUGAUGUGAG